UGACAGUUAAUAUAGGCUACAAUAACUAAGCUUGACGACUUCUAUAUUAAUGUGCUCCUAGAUAUUCAGUAAGCAAUUCAAGACGAAAUAUGGUACAUUACGUCAUAAUUUUGUCAAUCAAAUGUUUUUCUCUGCAGUUAUCUGCAAAUGUUUGAAUGUAUACUGAUGAUGUCUCCCGGAUGAUGAAGAUAUAAAGCCCAUUAGUUCGUCAUCAUCGUUGUCAACACAUUUAGCCUACUGCAGUAAGAUAACCGUAAUUGUCAACAUUGGAGAGGGGUGUCAGGUAUAGAGGAGAAGGCGGUUGAUAAUAUAUCUUCAUGAAUGAAUGUAUGAAAUACACGCAGAAUAAUAUGUGGGAAAUCAGCUCCAUCAUCUGAGAGCCUUUGAUCUCGGGCCUUUGUUAGUUCAUUGCCACGGAUUUUGAGUGAUUUUGGAAGGAUGCCCUGCGAGACUCGCCAGAAUUUGGUGUAAACCUCAAAGGACCACCUUGCGCAGAGCGAUAAGACGGUAUCAGUGAGCCAACGACCCCGGGUUCAUCCAUCAGACAGGGAUGAGAGCCACUGGGUGUACUAGUGCUGUUUGGCAGACACCACCACCAUGACAGCUUCCUCCCAUGACGAGCUUUUCCACACGUUUGCUCAAUCCAAUAUAAAUCUCCUCUAAAUAUACUCGCAUUAUUUCCAGGUAUUAAUAAUAAACACCCGGCCCGAGAACAUUUACCUCUUCAAGAUGAGGACUAACUCUCUCAAACUGACCCUUCACACUUGAGGAAAGGGGUUGUUCUGCUCCACGCGUGUAGUUUCUAGACUCAAGAUCCGUCGAUCUACCUGUCACGAUUCUCAGUGCUCAAGGACGAACUAGUCGUGUAUCUGAACGCGCUUGUCACGACCAGCUUCCUGCAAGCCUCCCUGAUGAACGGGAAGCUGUGGAGCGUUAUGAAUCAGCGUGUCGAAUCAGUGGUUUGGAGCGCCAAAGUCA